rnacentral:rRNA from 1 species
AUACGGAGGGUCCAAGCGUUAUCCGGAAUCAUGGGGUUUAAAGGGUGCGCAGGCGGUUUAUUAAGUCAGUGGUGAAAUCUCGGGGCUCAACCUCGAAACUGCCAUUGAUACUGAUAAACUUGAGUUCAGUUGGAGUAGGCGGAAUGUGUAGUGUAGCGGUGAAAUGCUUAGAUAUUACACAGAACACCGAUAGCGAAGGCAGCUUACUAAACUGAUACUGACGCUGAGGCACGAAAGCGUGGGGAGCAAACAGGAUUAGAAACCCUAGUAGUCC